rnacentral:rRNA from 1 species
UACGGGGGGAGCAAGCGUUGUUCGGAUUUACUGGGCGUAAAGGGCGCGUAGGCGGCCACCGCAAGUCAGUCGUGAAAUCUCCGGGCUUAACUCGGAAAGGUCGACUGAUACUGCGGGGCUAGAGUGCGGAAGGGGCAACUGGAAUUCUCGGUGUAGCGGUGAAAUGCGUAGAUAUCGAGAGGACCACCUGCGGCGAAGGCGGGUUGCUGGGCCGACACUGACGCUGAUGCGCGAAAGCCAGGGGAGCGAACGGG